rnacentral:rRNA from 1 species
UGACGCUGAGGCUCGAAAGCGUGGGGAGCGAACAGGAUCAGAUACCCUGGUAGUCCACGCUGUAGACGAUGGACACUAGGUAUGGGGAGUAUCGACCCUCUCCGUGCCGAAGCUAACGCUUUAAGUGUCCCGCCUGGGAACUACGGUCGCAAGACUAAAACUCAAAGGAAUUGACGGGGGCCCGCACAAGCAGCGGAGCGUGUGGUUUAAUUCGAUGCAACGCGAAGAACCUUACCAGGGCUUGACAUGACGGAAGUAGUGAACCGAAAGGCAAACGACCUGUCAAGUCAGGAGCCGCCACAGGUGCUGCAUGGUUGUCGUCAGCUCGUGCCGUGAGGUGUAGGGUUAAGUCCCAUAACGAGCGCAACCCUUGUUGCUAGUUGUUUUUUCUAGCG